rnacentral:rRNA from 1 species
AACGAACGCUGGCGGCAGGCCUAACACAUGCAAGUCGAGCGAGGACUUCGGUCCUAGCGGCGGACGGGUGAGUAACGCGUGGGAACGUGCCCUUUGCUUCGGAAUAGCCCUUGGAAACUGGGAGUAAUACCGGAUGAGCCCUUUGGGGGCAAGAUUUAUCGGCGAAGGAUCGGCCCGCGUUGGAUUAGGUAGUUGGUGGGGUAAUGGCCUACCAAGCCGACGAUCCAUAGCUGGUUUGAGAGGAUGAUCAGCCACACUGGAACUGAGACACGGUCCAGACUCCUACGGGAGGCAGCAGUGGGGAAUCUUAGAGAACGGGGGAAACACUGAUCUGGCCAUGACGCGUAAGAGAUGAAGGCCUUAGGGUUGUAAAGCUCUUUCAGCUGGGAAGAUAAUGACGGUACCAGCAGAAGAAGCCCCGGCUAACUCCGUG